rnacentral:lncRNA from 1 species
UCCCUGGGGGACACUGCCAGGGUCUGAUCCUGAGGAUGGGGGAGCCCCAGUCCUGCUCUAGCAGAGACAGCAACAUCAAGAGUUAAUUCAAAAGUGAAACUCAGGGAGCGCUUCCAGAAACUUCUGGCGCAUAAGCUGACCCUGCCCAUCCCUGGCUGUGGAUAUUUCCGGCCCCUCCUCGGGCCCUCAGAGCGCAGCAGUCCCACAGGACGUUGGUGCUGCAGCCCUUCGGGACCAGGCCUAGAGCAGACUCAUCUCAGCUCUCGCUGCCCAGCCCACCAUGUCCUUUCUCCCAGCUGCCAUUGUCUUGUUUGUGGGACUCGUCGUAGGUAUUGGACUUGUAGUAGCAGCAAAUGGUUCAAGGAUGAGAAUGGCUGCAAGGAGGAACCGCGCAGGAUCUUUUGACUUCGCUUUUGAAGCUGGUGAGUGGGGAGGGCAGGGGAGCUGAGAUGUGUGGGGUGGGAGCACAGGGCUGUACCCUGAGGUUUCUCUGAAGCCAAAGCAGCCCAUUAACUCCUCCCUGGUCUGAAUGCACCUGGACUUAGGGAAAGGGAUCAAUCCCAAUGUGCUGGGAAGAGCCAGGACCUGCUGGGACUGGGGUCAAGGCUGAGGGUAUCAGGGGCUGUGCAGGCAGGUGUCUGCUGUUUAGCAAGAAGUCCUGUGUCCACUGGCAGCACUGGUGAGAGACAGAAAGGGGCAGCAGAAAGGGCUUGGAUGUGCUCAGGGAGCAGCACUUGCUGCAGACCAAGUGUCUGGCACAGACUGAGGACACCCUUGGUGGAGAGACAUUUCUGUCUGUCCCUGCCUUAUGCAUGUCCAUCAGCAGGCAGCCUUGAUGCUUCUGGGACAUGACUCUCCUGUCUUUAUAGGGGGAAAUGAACAGGUCCUCUCUCCAAGCAUCUGCCCAAGCUAUGCUGUCCAGAGGAGGAACAGAUGACCACUGCAGGUGAACAAAAGCACAUUUCCCUCCUGCCUUUCAAGCAGCCUGAUUUGUGUCUUCCCACAGCAGCAGCUAGAAAUCCGCCACUGACUCGCAGCUUCCACUUUAACAGAUUUGAAUUACCUUGAGCAAUAAAUGCUUUGAAAACUCUAAUAAACGUGCAUGGCUGGUGUGCGUGUGUGGUGUUCCUUGGUGUGUGUCGUGGC